GCGCACCACAUCCACGGUGCGCCAUUAGUAAAAAAAAAUUAAUUUUUUUUUCAAAACUACUAAUGGCGCACCAUGGGUGUGGUGCGC
rnacentral:pre_miRNA from 1 species